rnacentral:lncRNA from 1 species
GGCGCUCCAAAGUCCAUACAUAUCAUAUUAAAUAUUAUUAAAAACUACUCAUUAAUUUAAUUCUUAGAUAAAUUAAUAAAACAUGUGUCAUAAUGUUACAUUGUCUCAAAACAUCCAUAACCCUAAAAUUAAUAGUAAUAUAAAGUGCAAAUCUAAGCCUCUAAUGUAACAUGAUUAUCAUAACCUUACAUAGACUCACCUGCAAGGGUGACAUUCAACUGAAACACAAACAAGACAAACAAAUCGGGAGUGAGAUACAUCUCACAAUAAAUUUAAAACAUUAUGAAAGUCAUAAAGAUAUAAGAUACAUUUAUAAACAAUUAGGUUCCACAACACAAGCAUGUCUCAUCCAAAUCAAACAUCCUAAACACAAAGUCACACAAACAAUGUGAUGCACUUUAGACUUGUAGAUUCAUAUGUAUGUGGUACCAUUUUGGAAAAUACCGUGAAUGUAGUUCAGGGGUCCAUCUAGUCAACGAAUUGUCACACCAUGGGUAACCCGACACUAUCACUCUCAUUGAGAUGACACCACCGACGGUGCAUUAGGGUGUUUCGGCCUUUCAAG